rnacentral:rRNA from 1 species
UACGUAGGGAGCAAGCGUUGUCCGGAAUUACUGGGUGUAAAGGGAGCGUAGGCGGGGACUCAAGUCGAAUGUUAAAUCUACCGGCUCAACUGGUAGCUGCGUUCGAAACUGGGACUCUUGAGUGAAGUAGAGGCAGGCGGAAUUCCUAGUGUAGCGGUGAAAUGCGUAGAUAUUAGGAGGAACACCAGUGGCGAAGGCGGCCUGCUGGGCUUUUACUGACGCUGAGGCUCGAAAGCGUGGGGAGCAAA